GCGGCGAGUGAGCGGCAAGAGGCUCAGAUUUGAAAUCGCCUCGGCGAGUUGUAAAUUGCAGGUUGGAGUCUUUGUGGCGGCGUGUGUCUAAGUCCCUUGGAACAGGGCGCCAUUGAGGGUGAGAGCCCCGUGCGGCACGCGYCUAAGCUUUAAGACCCUUCUGACGAGUCGAGUUGUUUGGGAAUGCAGCUCUAAGUGGGUGGUAAAUUCCAUCUAAGGCUAAAUACUGGCGAGAGACCGAUAGCGAACAAGUACUGUGAAGGAAAGAUGAAAAGCACUUUGAAAAGAGAGUGAAACAGCACGUGAAAUUGUUGAAAGGGAAGGGUAUUGGGCUCGACAUGGGGACUGCGCACCGUUGCUUCUUGUAGGCGGCGCUCUGUGCGGUUUCUGGGCCAGCAUCAGUUUUUGCCGCGGGAGAAUGGGGGGAGGAACGUGGCUCUUCGGAGUGUUAUAGCCUCUCUCAGAUGCCGCGAGCGGGGACUGAGGUCUGCGAUUCGUUCAAGGAUGCUGGCACAACGGCGCAAUACCGCCCGUCUUGAAAACACGGACCAA
rnacentral:rRNA from 1 species